UUACCACGAUUAUCACGUGCCUUUUAGGAUGUAUGCGGACCCCUUCACUCUUCAUUUGUGACAGGAGCCUAUCGUCGCUUUUUUUAUAGGUAUCUUCUAUAAUCAUUAAAUAUCCACAAGCACACCGAAAGUUUAAUCAUCUGUCAUAGAAACUAUAAAAAAUAGCUUUAAGGUUAUUCAACAGAAAAAAUAACUUUAAAAUAGUUUAGAUUAAAUAUUGAGAACACCAACAAAACAAAAAAAUAUUUUUUGAGACUCUAUAUAGCCUUAGCGUAUUUUGUAUACCAAGCGUAGAAGACAAUAUAAAAUGUCCGACACGUGUAAUAUAAACACCGAGACGGUAUGUGGCAUGCAUCUAUAAACGACUUAUAAAAACCGGGGAUUUUUAAAUGUCUAUUUGAUUCGCAAAUAAAAUGGUACUACUGUAUUUUAGUUCAAGUUUUUUUUUCAUUUUUGAGACCACAACUACUAUUUUAACUUAGCAGUAAAUAGAAGAUUAGUAAGGAGAGGAUAUUAAGUAUUAUUUGAAACUAGUUGAGAGACCUACCUCCUUUAAAAAUGUAUAUCCUUAGAUACAAACUAAACAAGUUGCAUAAAACAUACAUUCCUGCCUAUUUAUAAUUGUGCAUUAUCCACUUAGCGUUCGAACUAUUUUAAUUUAAACAGAUUUCAACAUGAGUAAAUAUGUUUAUACGACAAUUAAACGAACUGAUACGUUAAAGAACAAGAACGAUUAUAUUUCUUGUUGUUUAAGCGUGGGAAAAUAUGUCUAUGAGAAUAAAUGGCGUCGUGAAAGUGUUUGGUUAUAAUAAUAGGUUUUUACAAUGUAGAGUUGUACUAGUACAUUUAUCUAGCGUAGUAUCUUCUAGUUGGACAUUGUCUUAUGCUGUUGUAGUACAAUAAGACCUUAUAAAAUAAGCCCACACAUGUUCAAUGACGCUUAAUUCACUAUUCUUGUCAUAUUUUCGAUGAGUAACAGUUGAGAUCAUUAUAGUGAUUGAGUAUAUUCGAAGAAGUCAGACUCAAAAGACGUAGAUGGUCGUCUUUAGGUGAUUUGCGUUUUUGCAAAACUAUGUCCAAGAAUAGUUGAAAUUCAAUUUAUUGGUAUAUUCCUUGACUUGAGUCACAAACGUGCGUCAGCUGAUGAUGGAAGAAACAUCGUGUGACAGUAUUUAAGUUAUUUUAAUGAAUCAUAUCCGGUGAUAUUAUCAUAGUUACUAUCUAUUAAGAAGUAUUAUCAGGGUGCCCUAUUCCGUCUCUGGGGCAUAUCCGUCUUUUUGCAAUUCCCGGCGUUGUAAUCGAACGAUAGCUUUGAAAGUCGUAUAGAUAGUAAAAAAUAUCUCCUUUUUUUCAAUAGGAUGAUGAAAGCUCUUCUUCGAUUAGACCGCCCGUAAUUGUAAAAAGAUGAAUUUGAACCAGUAGACGGAGUAGGACCCUCUGACUUCUCAUUUUCAUGUUUAACACUAGUCGUAUUUAUGUUAGUGACAUGACGUCGUCGCCUGCUAGGAAAGCGUUGCAUAUCCUUAUUUGUAUCCUUUUUGCAGGAUGAGUUAUAUAUACGUAUUGCUUUAAUAUGUUUAAUCUAUGCAACAAAGUAGUGUUAAUAUUAUUCUUGCCACUAAUCUUGACCUAACAUCUAGACUCGCCUCCUAGAUCGCCACAUCACUGGUGUCCGCCAUAGUAUCCAUUAUUUUAAAUUUAUGUAUUAGUCCGCAAAAUAAUAACAGUUGCAACAUUCUAUUAUAUGUAUAUAUAUGUACCUAAAUAUAAUCUAUACUAUUUUCUUAGAGCUUAUGUUGAUAUGCAUUGUAUUUAGGAUAAUGAAAAGUAAUCAUAUUUUUUUUGUAUUGAUAUGAUAAAGUGGCCACUUUGGGACUGGCGGUAACAGUUCAAUAUAAACAUUUACUGACUAGCUAGAAAUAGUACAUAUUUUUAAGCUUUCUCUACAAGUCAACCUAUUGGGCUGAUUAAUUGGAUAUAUGCUUCCUUGUCUCUUGAAGUUCGUUUUCACGUGUAAAUAAUUAUCUAUUACCCUACCGUGAUCAUAACUUGCUCCCUAAAAAUUCGUUGAUUCUCCGAAACGCGGCUUUUAGUUCAAUGUACAUUUCAUCGUCAUCAUCAUCAGCCGCAGGAUGUCCACUGCUGAACACGGACAUCCCCCAAAUAUUUCCAGAUCACCCUAUUGGAAGCAGUAUUUAUAGUGACGAAAAUGGUGUUUUAAAUGAUAAUAUAAAAAAAUUAGAAGGUCUUACUGAAAGCUGUUUACAUGACUGACUUUUUUAUGUGAAGAUACAAAAUUAAAAGAACAAGUAAAUGUCUUGGAAACUAGUUGAGCACUCUGUGUAUCCAACGUGUUGUCAUCUGUUGAAUAAUUCAAAUCGAGGCUGAUUUAUAUUGUUCCUAAUUAAAGUAAACACAAAUGUACAGUCGCGGAUCACGAUCAACGGAGAAUCCCUAAUGCGAUAUAACCUGUGAUCACUUUUUUCACCUCUAUUAUAAAGAUUUAUGUGUACUUGUUCUUCACUUUUUAUCUUCAUGCAUCACAUGGCACUUCGACUGACGAUGCGUUGACGUCAGUUGACAUUACGGUUGAUAGUUUUAAACAGAUCUGUUGAAUGUUUGUGUACUAUUAUCCUUUGGAAAUGCAUGUAUUGAGGUUUGAGAAUAACUUAUAAAUAAAACAAACGAUACCAAAUAUAAAGGUUUUGACAAAAAAUAAAUGGUGUAGCGUUUUUAAUUUAUUUAUUUAUUUUAAUUUUGUUAUGUCUGUUCCACAAUUCUGAUUGACAAUUUCGUAAGAAUUCCGGUUUUUAGAUAUUUUUUAUCUUUAAGCACAUUUCUUUGUUUGUUUCAUGUGAUGUCAUCAACGUGAAGCAAUGGGUAUAAAGGUUGUUAAUCUUAUUUGUGUUAAAAGUAUUGAAAUUGAAAAUAUAUAGUAAUUGUUUUGAUGGGAAAAGAAUACUGUUAGACAGUCAUUUCAAGCUCAGUUUAAAUUUACGAUGCAACCAUAUCCCGUCAUUAAAGAUACAACUGGCUACUAAGUGAUGUAACGUUUCUGUCCUUGUCAUCAUUGUAAAAAAGACAGAAGACAAACAUAAAGAAAAUAAAGAAAAUAUUGAGGAGCCGAACUGCCAGUACUCAAUGUAUUCUCGUUAUAAUUAUGUAGCUCAAUGAAUAAAUCAUUAAAAUCAUUGCCAUGUAGUAUGUAUUAGCCUACGUGUAUUCUACAUUUGUAUAUUACAAAAGCAUCGAAGUGAUUUAGCAACAAUAGAAGCAAACUUCCUAGUCAGUAUAUCUAGCAACUAAUUUGUUGUAAUUUCUCAUGAGAUGUUUAUAAAUUAGCCAUUAAUCGAUGCAUCGCCUAGUUCAUUAUAGACAAUGGCCAAGUCGGUGGGAAACCUAUAAUUACAAUGUAGAGUACGUGUUAAACUCAUGCUUCUAGGGUUUCUUUGAGUGUUCCGAGUAUUUCACUCUGACCUCCUUGUAAACGAUAAAUUAAACGAUAGAUGGCAAUGUCUAGAGAUGAAAAAAAGAAUGAUAUUAUUCAUUUUAAUUUUAUAUGAAUACUAAAAGGACGAUGUAAAAAGGCAUAAUGGUUUAUUAUAAUAAUGGUUAUAACUAAUUAAUCUGAUCUCUUAUUAUUAAUACAAUGUAAUCUCUCUACAUAAAAGUCGUAACAAAGUA